rnacentral:rRNA from 1 species
AUGGUGGGGGAUGAUGGUGGGAUUACAUUGCUUCAAUCUCAUUAUGUGGAAAAGAUCUUGAGUCGCUUUGGAUAUAGUGACUGCAAGCCCUCUCCAACCCCAUAUGAUGCGAGUGUGUUACUUCGAAAGAAUCAAAGAAUUGCUAGAGAUCAGUUGAAAUAUUCUCAGAUUAUUGGCUCGCUUAUGUACUUAGCCAGUGCUACAAGACCUGACAUCUCUUUUGCUGUUAGCAAACUGAGUCGGUUUGUCUCAAACCAGGAGAUGUGCAUUGGAAAGCUCUAG